rnacentral:rRNA from 1 species
GACAGAGGGUGCAAACGUUGUUCGGAAUUACUGGGCGUAAAGCGUGUGUAGGCGGCCGUGCAAGUCGGAUGUGAAAGCCCUGGGCUCAACCCAGGAAGUGCACCCGAUACUGCUCGGCUCGAGUACCGGAGAGGUUGGUGGAAUUCUCGGUGUAGAGGUGAAAUUCGUAGAUAUCGAGAGGAACACCGGUGGCGAAGGCGGCCAACUGGACGGAUACUGACGCUGAGACACGAAAGCGUGGGGAGCAAAC